UGAUUGCCCAGAUUUGCGAUUGACACAAUGAGGAAGCAGCUGUUUGCUUAAAUAACCCAGGAAACUGCUAGAAAGGAAUGGGAAACGGUGAUCCACAGACCUCAAGCUCCGGAGAGGCAGGAAUAGGCACCCUGACCUGCUCUGACUCACAAGGCUCCAGGAUCGAAUGAAUUAUCACACGUAAAGUGUUUGGAACAGGCCUUGCCACAUGUGAGGAGCUCAGUAAAUGGCAGAUAUAGUGAUACCUGUGGUUCCUGUUACGGCCGUGGUGAAGCGGAGUGGCAGUGGGAUGCCUUUACUGACAGUGCCUACCUUCAGUAACUUCAAGAUGUGGUGGUGGAUGAAGAACACAGACGCAUAAAAUAAUACUUAGGAGGGCACAUGCGGAUUAGGGCUCACAGAGUGGAAGCCAGGUGUCACCUACGCAAAUGCGUUAAAAGGCCAAGUAGGCAGCUCAAGCCGGGAAGUGGAGGAUGUAACAAGAAGUGGGGAUUCUGAGGCCUCGAGACAUGUGGGUCUGUCUACAGGCAUUCCAAUGCCUCGAGACGUGCAGGUCUGUCUGCAGGCAUUCCAAUGCAUUGUGAAACUUUCUGUGGGCUGUACCGAUCACAUCUGAGGGCUGAGUCAUGCUCAGAAGCUGCUGCAAUUACUGAGAUUUGAAGUGAAAAGGCAAAUAGGAUGGGUAAAAAAAAUGAGACAAUAACUGAGCAAGCCAGACUAUGGCCAAAAUGAAAGGUGAAGAACUCUUACCCUUUGGACCUGUGGUGCAAUACCCAGGCCCCAGGGGGGACACAGGCCUGGUGUGGUGCCCAGUGGUACCUAGGGACGGUGCGAAGAUUCAUCGGUGACACUCAACAUUGGUUCAGCGAUCUUAUACCAGACCACGCUUUCCACAUCCUCCACAAUACUCAUAUCCGAAAGUGUUAAUUCUGGAAAGAAUUGUUAGCACAGAAAGGAGAAGGAGUAGCAACAUACAAAACCUCAAGGAAGAAUUGAAGAAAAAUGGAUAAAACCAGAGUGCCAACAAAGCUAAACUUCUGGCUCAUCCAAGCAUGGACCAGAAACUAAUUCCUCAGAAACAAAAACUCAUUUUCUAUGUUAUAAGUAAUACACAAAAGAAAUCAUCACUUGUCCUUAGCUAUUAAUCCAUUAUAUUUGGCAAAGAUAACAUCAAGCUUAUUUCUUUCCCUUAGCUAAUCUGCUAAAUUUCUCUGAGUAACCCCCAAGACAUUAUUUGGAUGAAGUUACAUUAUCCAUAAACAUUACUAAGAACCACACCCUGAUCAUCUGUCAGCAAUAUGGAUCUUGACUAAUUGGAAACUAAGAAGUUAAAGGAAACAAAUGAGCAUACCAACAGAGGAGAGAAGGAAAACUUUGCUGCAAGAAGAACCAUGGAGCACACGGCUCCAAGUGUUAGUGUGAAUGAGGCAGGGGAGAAUGUGGGGACAGUACGGAUAGAUGGCUGGUCACUCUCAAGUGCAAUAUUAGCAAUAUGGCCUGUGAGUGCCACAUGAUCAAUAUGGCCAAGGGACAUAAGUUUAGUAUCAGAAAGACAAGAGUUUACAUCUUGACCCUGUCACUGAUGAUCGCUGUAAUCAUGGAUAUGUUACUUUGCCUUCUUGGGCCUUUUGCUUCAUUUGAAGAAUGAGAGUGAUAACAUCACGAGGGUCAUUGGUACAGAAAUUCACCUACAUUCAAAGGUACGCCUAUCAAAUAUACACCUAUCAAGGCAUUGGUUCAGAAAUUCACCUACAUUCAAAUGUAGGUGUGCAUUGGCUGGGGCAGAUAAAAUCACCAAUUGUUACAAAGCUUCCUCCCAAUCUGGUUUUCUACUGUUGUGAGGAGCUCCCUCUUUCUCUGGGUUCAGUUGCAUUCCGCUUGCACACUUUAGGAGAAAGCGCUAAGCUUGGGAUAUUUUCCUUGUACUCUUACCCUCCCCUCAGCAUAUCACCCUUUGAACUUCUGUGGUAAUAGUUUUACUGUUUGUUUUCUCUUCCUUAAAAGUAUUCCCUGCUUCCAGGAGUUCAUGCAGGAGUUUCUUCCUUUGAAACCCCAAUUAAAUGACAUUGUUUUUUAGAUGAUAUAAUUCCAACAGGAAUAAAAAGAUAACAGCAACAAAUUUUGGAAACUAGUAAGCAGAUGGAUGAGUGUUGAUCAAUUUGGCUGACCUGAGGGGACAGAAUCCUAGCCAAUAGUCAGAAAAAAAAAAAGCCCAGCAAUUUUACAAAGGUACCCAAAGGCUCAGGAAUCCAUGACACAAGUAUCUAUGGAAAUGGGUUUAAAGGUGAGACUAGAAACAAGACUCUUGAUGAAAAGUCUAGUCAAGAGGCAGUUAGAUCUCUAGAUAGCUUUGCCUGCUCUUUGUAGACCAGGGGCUGCUUCUCACCACUCCCAGCAGGAGAUAAGUGUUAUUUUCUGGACUGAGUACUAAGAGGAGGGGGUCUCUGUCCUGGGGAACACUAGGCACAGUUAACAAAAAGGAUACAGGGGCAUUGACCCCCAGUCCUCUUCCCAUAAUAUUGACAGCCAG
rnacentral:lncRNA from 10 species